AUACACACAAGAAAGGCUUUGAGGCUGUGACGCGCUGCUCAUGUGCGAUACUGUCAUCAACUGCAGGAAUUAUGGAGACUAGCUUCCUCUGAGAGUUUCGGGGGCCUGUGGCCACAGUGUGCCCAGCUUCCCCUACCUCCCCCCAGCUUGAGGACGCAGAAUGGACAAGGAAACAGCCAAGGAGAAGCAGCCAGCAGGUGGGAUCCUGAGGACUGGAUAGGCAUUAUUAGGUCAGGAGGCCUGAUGACAAAGGCUAAAGGCCGUGGGGUUCCCUGGCUGGUUUGGAACCGGUUCAGCAUCCUGGUGCCGAUGGAGGACCUGAAGAGCAGGUGGAGCCUGACUCAGCACAGAAAGGGCUCUUUCAGACGCUAAGUCCUUCCUGACUCUGUGACCGCAUGGACUGCAGCCCACCAGGCUUCUCUGUCCUCCACGAUCUCCUGGCCCGUGCUCCAAUUCAAUUCCAUUGAGUCGGCGAUGCUGCUUAACCAUCUCAUCCUCUGCCGCCCCCUUCUCCUUUUGCCUUCAGUCUUUGGUCCUACUCAUCCUCCAGGUGGUGACCUAAAGGUCUCUUUCCACAGGAAGCUUCUCUCCAUUACCUCUUAGCCUUUUCUAGGUGAAGUCGGCCAGCCACACCCACCCAUGUUGAUUUCUGUGCUUCCUCAAACGUCACUGUGAGUCUGAUUCACACAGCCCAUCCUCGAAUCUGGCAAUUGCUUUAUAGAAACAGGGACGGCUAACCUGCUCACUAUGUUAACCCCAGGCCAGCCAUUGUGGUGUUUGUGGAAUGAUGUGCUGGAUUAAUUCUUUAAUUAGUUUAGCAGGUAAUAAAAUCUUGUGAACAAAGAGCAUGUCUCCUCCAUAGAUGCUAAGUUCAGUUAGUCUCAGUUCAACAAAGCUGGACAAGCCCUCCAAGAGCAUGUUACAUAAACCCCCGAAUGGACCUUGUGUCAAAAUUCUGCUGCCAAAGUGAACAAGAGUCCUAUUUAGAAAAUUCUCUCUUAAGAAGGCUUAUUUCUAUCUGGGUGGGAUCCAAGUUUUACUGAGGGCUUUAAAUAAUUGGGGAAAGACAUUAUCUUUGGAAACUCUUAAAAAUCCAACCUCUGUCCCUUGAUUCUUGCCAAAUCUCUCCCACAGUUCACAUUAAAUGGAUUACCCUGUCUUUAAUCACAUACUAAAUGUCUGCAUCUGUGGUUGGCAUCAGCUAGCUCUGAGGCAGCUGCAAUCCACUCGUACAUGUCCUGCUAUUAAAGCAGGAGGAAUAUUA